CCUACGGGAGACUGCAGUGAGGAAUAUUGGUCAAUGGGCGGAAGCCUGAACCAGCCAAGUCGCGUGCAGGAUGACGGCCCUACGGGUUGUAAACUGCUUUUAUACGGGAAUAACGCGCCUUACGUGUAGGGCUUUGCAUGUACCGUAUGAAUAAGGACCGGCUAAUUCCGUGCCAGCAGCCGCGGUAAUACGGUAGGUCCGGGCGUUAUCCGGAUUUAUUGGGGUUAAAGGGUGCGUAGGCGGCGCUUCAGGUCAGCGGUGAAAUACCGGGGCUCAACCCCGGGGCUGCCGUUGAAACCGGAGCGCUAGAAUUCCGAUGCCGUCGGAGGAAUGUGUGGUGUAGCGGUGAAAUGCAUAGAUAUCACACAGAACACCGAUGGCGAAGGCAUCUGACGAAUCGGAGAUUGACGCUGAUGCACGAAAGCGUGGGUAGCGAACAGGAUUAGAUACCCGUGUAGUC
rnacentral:rRNA from 1 species